rnacentral:lncRNA from 1 species
UAGUGGUCAGCAAUAGGUUGUCAAGUAACUCUUCCCUUAUCUUAUUUCGAAACAUUAGGGACAAUGUUCGAUUUAAGUGUGGGAGGAGACUCUAUCGUCUUUUCUUUAUUGUUUUUCUCGUUUUUCUUUGCUGUUUUUAGAUAGUUUAUUUAUUUUUAUUUCCUUUUAGUUGUUUAUUUUGCCUUUUAGUAUAAUGCAUGAGUCUGACGAGUCACCAAAUAUAGUAAAUCUUUAGUACAAUCCUACCUCCCCAUAUCUUUAGCCCCACCAAAUUUUUUUUUGCAAAAGAAAAUAGUGUUAUUCCGAAAGUUUUCAGGUUUUAAGGACAUGUUUUGAGUAAGGAUGCGGUGACUUGGGAGAACUCUGCGAAACAUCAAUAUUAUUUUAGCACCAUAGACUUCGUAAAUAUAGGAACCACUCCCGAAACCCCAUAUACCAUGGCCUUAAUCAUCAUUUCUGUAUAAGUCCUCAGUAGUUUAUCUCAGCAGUCAGCUCCGGCCUAUGCAUCCUCUACGUAGGGGACCGAUGCAAAUAAGUGAAUGAUCCAGCAAAACAAAAAAAUAAAAGAAAGCAAAAAGGAAACUCCGGUAUAGGUGACCCUCACAAAGUCAUUUAAACCAAAGAAUUGUAAAAAUUUGCUACAAAAAGA